rnacentral:rRNA from 1 species
GUAGGACUACCCGCUGAACUUAAGCAUAUCAAUAAGCGGAGGAAAAGAAACUAACAAGGAUUCCCCUAGUAACUGCGAGUGAAGCGGGAAAAGCUCAAAUUUAGAAUCUGGCAGCCUACGGUUGUCCGAGUUGUAGCCUAGAGAAGCGUUUUCUGCGUUGGACCAUGUACAAGUCCCUUGGAACAGGGCGUCAUAGAGGGUGAGAAUCCCGUACUUGACAUGGACUCCCAGGGCUAUGUGAUGCGCUCUCGAAGAGUCGGGUUGUUUGGGAAUGCAGCUCUAAAUGGGUGGUAAAUUCCAUCUAAAGCUAAAUAUUGGCGAGAGACCGAUAGCGAACAAGUACCGUGAGGGAAAGAUGAAAAGCACUUUGGAAAGAGAGUUAAACAGUACGUGAAAUUGUUGAAAGGGAAACGCUUGAAGUCAGUCGCGUCGGCCGGGACUCAGCCUUGAACGGUGCACUUCCCGGUGGACGGGCCAGCAUCAGUUUUGAUCGUCGGAAAAGGGUUUGAGGAAUGUGGCAUCUUCGGGUGUGUUAUAGCCUCUUGCCGCACGCGACGGUUGGGACUGAGGAUCGCAGCUUCGGCUUAGGAUGCUGGCGUAAUGGCUUUAAACGACCCGUCUUGAAACACGGACC